CGAGCUGACUUAUCGUGACGUCACCCACUGUAUCUGACUGUAUGCAGCCCUUCAUGGAGCGCGUGGCUGCGAGCACAUGGAAAGGAGGUCGAGAUUUGUGCUUGAAAGACACGCACCUAUUCAUCCGAAAUGGAAUAUAAAUAAUAAUGCGCAAAAUAGAGUCAGAGAACGGGAAGACUGUUGAAGACCCUUCCCGCUCUGCUCUACUCAGCUGUCAAUCAACGAGGAUCAGCAGAUUUAUAAUGAAAAUCAAGACACCUGGAUGGAAGUUAUGAAAAGGUGAAAAAAAAGCAUAAGGGAUUUGUUUAUGGUCAAUACGUGAUUUUAUGUUGUCAUGUCUGUCCCUUAUAUUAUGUCAAUAGUCUGCUGUAUGAUAGGAAACCAGCCCUAGAGAGUGUACCUAUGAAUAAAGUAAACUAAAAGAACUCAGACAUUAAUACAGACACACUCUCACAUACGUACCACAAAUCCCCUCAUUAACACAUUAUCAGAAGUGAUUUCACUUCACACCUCGUCAGGAACCUGACCCCAGGUCUAGUCAGGGUUUGAGGGAUGUCACUAGGGAAUGUUUAAACAGUGGUCAUCACCUGAUUGCUGAUCUAGGAUCCGUUUUUUCCUUUUAGAUCAUAAUGAAUACGAUCACAUGGACAAGGGGGACCUGAUCCUAGAUCAGCACUUCCACACAGAGACACUUUAUGAAUACAGGCCAUGGGGUUUUAGGAGGGUCCGAAUUGAAAUAAAAUAAAUGAAUAAAAAGGAAAGAAAUAAGUAGCUUUGUGUUGUUGCACGCUGCUCACUUCCUCUUUUCUCAGAGUCAUGCUGAUGUUGAAGACCCACCCUGAAACGGUACACUGUGAACUGUGCUGUGACCGGGAAGUACCUAAUGUCACAAAUAUCAUGUACUAGCAAAUCCACUUACCACAACCUUAUUCUAGUGAAAGGGACAGUCCAUAUACAAAGUCUCACCUACCGAAGCAAACGGUGGUGUGCGUGUGUGCUUAUGUGUGUACUAUACAGAAAGUGCUUCAUUAUCAUAGUCUUGGGGAAAGGGUAAGCAAUAGACCAUGCACUACUACAUGAAAAAUGUAUUUAUCCUCAUAAUUCCCUAACAGGCAGGCCUGCAAAACCCAUGGGGUCUAUUCAAUGAUGUCAUAUUCACAUCUAUUACGCUUAAGAUAAUUGAACAAAAGUCAGUUCUCAGUGGAACGGAACACUGGGAUGUAAAAGAGGAUAUGAUACGUUGUGCAAUGUAUUGUUUUAUGGGUACUGAGGUCAGUCCCAUGUAUGUACAUGUACAUACGUGUGUGUGUGUGUGUGUGUGUGCGCGCGUGCACGCAUCCCUGUCUCUGUGUGUGUGUGCCUACAUAUCUGUGUAUGUAUCUCUGUGUAUCUGUUUGUCUGUGUUUGACUGACAAUGGUACAGUAUAGUGCAGCAAUUCCCAAGCUCAGCCUUCUUGCAUGUUUUUAUUUUCUCCCCCUAACACUACACAGCUGAUUCAAAGCUUGAAGAUUAGUUGAUUAUUUGAAUCAGCUGUGUAGUGCCAGUGUAAAAAAUAAAACGUGCAUCCCUUGGUGUCCAGAGGACUGAGUUUGGGAAACCCUGGUCUAGGCUGAAAUAUGUUGAGGCCAUGCUCCUGCUGCCUGUAUUUUCCACUUUUUAUUGCCUGUAUUUUCACUUUUUAUUGCCUGUGUCCUGAAUACGUUGUACUCCUGUGACUGGUGGGUGUCAGUAGCUGUCACGUUCCAUCCAUCUGUACUAAUCAGUCUUUGUCAAUCAGAAAGAGACUGGAGCAGAAUGCCUGAGUCUGAAUAAAUCUCUCACUUUGGCAAAAGUUAA